GAUGAAGAACGUAGCGAAAUGCGAUACGUAAUGUGAAUUGCAGAUUUCAGUGAAUCAUCGAAUCUUUGAACGCACAUUGCGCCCGCCAGUAUUCUGGCGGGCAUGCCUGUUCGAGCGUCAUUUCAACCAUCAAGCCUUCGCUUGUGUUGGGGCCCCGCGGCUGCCGCGGUCCCCUAAAUCCAGUGGCGGGCUCGUCGUCGUACCGAGCGCAGUAGACAUCCUCGCUCCGGGAACCCGACGGGUGCCGGCCGUGAAACCCCCCACAUCAAGGUUGACCUCGGAUCAGGUAGGAAUACCCGCUGAACUCAAGCAUAUCAAUAAGCGGAGGA
rnacentral:misc_RNA from 1 species